UCUGGUCAGCAGUAGAAGCACUCGGGACGGACCGUGCUGCCCGCGAGCCACCACCGAUGACCAGC
rnacentral:ncRNA from 1 species